rnacentral:rRNA from 1 species
GACGAACGCUGGCGGCGUGCCUAAUACAUGCAAGUCGAGCGGACGUUGUUGGAGCUUGCUCCAACAACGUUAGCGGCGGACGGGUGAGUAACACGUGGGCAACCUGCCUUAACGACUGGGAUAACUCCGGGAAACCGGGGCUAAUACCGGAUAACAUCUAGCACCUCCUGGUGCAAGAUUAAAAAGAGGGCCUCUGGCUCUCACGUUAAGAUGGGCCCGCGGCGCAUUAGCUAGUUGGAGAGGUAAUGGCUCCCCAAGGCGACGAUGCGUAGCCGACCUGAGAGGGUGAUCGGCCACACUGGGACUGAGACACGGCCCAGACUCCUACGGGAGGCAG